rnacentral:rRNA from 1 species
AACGAACGCUGGCGGCGUGCUUAACACAUGCAAGUCGAACGAUGAAAGCGGGAGCUUGCUCCUGCUGGAUUAGUGGCGAACGGGUGAGUAACACGUGAGCAAUCUGCCCCGAACUCUGGGAUAAGCGUUGGAAACGACGUCUAAUACCGGAUACGACACGCGAAGGCAUCUUCUGCGCGUGGAAAGAAUUUCGGUUCGGGAUGAGCUCGCGGCCUAUCAGCUAGUUGGUGAGGUAACGGCUCACCAAGGCGACGACGGGUAGCCGGCCUGAGAGGGUGACCGGCCACACUGGGACUGAGACACGGCCCAGACUCCUACGGGAGGCAGCAGUGGGGAAUAUUGCACAAUGGGCGAAAGCCUGAUGCAGCAACGCCGCGUGAGGGACGACGGCCUUCGGGUUGUAAACCUCUUUUAGUAGGGAAGAAGCGAAAGUGACGGUACCUGCAGAAAAAGCACCGGCUAACUACGUGCCAGCCGCCGCCGUAACAC